rnacentral:rRNA from 1 species
AUUGAACGCUGGCGGCAGGCCUAACACAUGCAAGUCGAGCGGAGCGCCGGACGCGUGCGUAAUGCCUAGGUAUCUGCCUCGUAGUGGGGGAUAACGUCCGGAAACGGAAGCUAAUACCGCUUCCUCUCAGCAGAGCCUAGGUCGGAAUAGCUAGUUGGUGGGGUAAAGGCCUACCAAGGCCGAGACCCAUAUCUGGUCUGAGAGGAUGAUCAGUCACACUGGAAAGGAGACACGGUCCAGACUCCAACGGGAGGCAGCAGUGGGGAAUAUUGGACAAGGGGCGAAAGCCUGAUGCAGCCAUGCCGCGUGUGUGAAGAAGGGCUUCGGAUUGUAAAGCACUUUAAGUUGGGAGGCGUUACCAGCAGAAUAAGCACCGGCUAACUUCGUGCCAGCAGCCGCGGUAAUAC